AUUGGUGUUGUACCAAUACUCUGC
rnacentral:siRNA from 1 species